rnacentral:misc_RNA from 1 species
UCUCCGUUGGUGAACCGGCGGAGGGAUCAUUACCGAGUUAUCAACUCCCAAACCCCUGUGAACAUACCCAACGUUGCUUCGGCGGGACAGCCCCGGCGCCCUCGCCGUUCCGGAACCAGGCGCCCGCCCGAGGACCCAAACUCUUGUUUAAACCAUAGUGGUAUAUUUUAAGUGAAACAAGGAAAUUAAAUCAAAACUUUCAACAACGGAUCUCUUGGCUCUG